GGUUCGGUGUUGGAAUUGGUAGACAAUCUGGAUUUAAAAUCCAGUGGGGGCAACCCCGUGCGGGUUCAAGUCCCGCCCGAACCA
rnacentral:tRNA from 1 species